rnacentral:rRNA from 1 species
AGAGUUUGAUUCCUGGNUCAGAAUGAACGCUGGCGGCGUGCCUAACACAUGCAAGUCGAGCGAGAAAGCCCNUUCGGGGGUGAGUAAAGCGGCGGACGGGUGAGUAACGCGUGGAUAAUUUACCUUUGGGUUCGGGAUAACCUGUCGAAAGAUGGGCUAAUACCGGAUACGCUGCGUUUUGCUUAUGCAAGGCGUGGGAAAGAUGGCCUCUGUUGCAAGCCAUUGCCCAAAGAUGAGUCCGCGUCCCAUUAGCUAGUUGGUGGGGUAAUUGCCUACCAAGGCGACGAUGGGUAGCUGGUCUGAGAGGAUGGUCAGCCACACUGGGACUGGAACACGGCCCAGACUCCUACGGGAGGCAGCAGUGGGGAAUCUUGGGCAAUGGGGGAAACCCUGACCCAGCAACGCCGCGUGAGGGAAGAAGGCCUUCGGGUCGUAAACCUCUGUCAGGAGGGAAGAAAAGGCCGCGAUCUAACAGGUUGCGGUUUUGACGGUACCCCCAGAGGAAGCACCGGCUAACUCCGUGCCAGCAGCCGCGGUAACACGGAGGGUGCAAGCGUUAUUCGGAAUUACUGGGCGUAAAGCGCACGUAGGCGGUGCGGUAAGUCAGAUGUGAAAGCCCCGGGCUCAACCUGGGAAUUGCAUUUGAUACUGCCGCGCUAGAGUAAGGUAGAGGGUGGCGGAAUUCCCGGUGUAGGGGUGAAAUCCGUAGAUAUCGGGAGGAACACCAGUGGCGAAGGCGGCCACCUGGGCCUUUACUGACGCUGAGGUGCGAAAGCGUGGGUAGCAAACAGGAUUAGAUACCCUGGUAGUCCACGCCGUAAACUUUGGAUAGNUAGGUGCUGGGUUUUAAAUUCGGUGCCGUAGCUAACGCGUUAAGUUNCCCGCCUGG